UACGUAGGAUCCAAGCGUUAUCCGGAAUCACUGGGCGUAAAGCGUGCGUAGGCGGCGUGUUAAGUGAGAUGCGAAAUCUUGUGGCUCAACCAUAUAGACUGUGUCUCAUACUGGCAUGCUAGAGAAUGGCAGAGGCAAGUGGAAUUACCGGUGUAGCAGUGAAAUGCGUAGAGAAUCGGUAGGAACACCAAUGGCGAAGGCAGCUUGCUGGGCCAAUUUCUGACGCUAAGGCACGAAAGCGUGGGGAGCGAACAGG
rnacentral:rRNA from 1 species